rnacentral:rRNA from 1 species
UACAGAGGGGGCUAGCGUUAUUCGGAAUUAUUGGGCGUAAAGGGCGCGUAGGCGGCCAUGCGUGUCUUCCGUGAAAUCCCUCGGCUUAACUGAGGACGUGCGGAAGAAACCGCAAGGCUCGAGUCCGGGAGAGGGGGGUGGAAUUCCCAGUGUAGCGGUGAAAUGCGUAGAUAUUGGGAAGAACACCGAUGGCGAAGGCAGCCAUCUGGACCGACACUGACGCUGAGGCGCGAAAGCGUGGGGAGCAAACAGGG